CAUGCAAGUCGAACGAGACUAGAGGGCAACUUUUAGUUUAGUGGCGAAAGGGUUAGUAAUACAUGAAUAACUUACCCUUUACCUGGGGAUAACGACUGGAAACAGGCGCUAAUACCGAAUGAGGUACCGAUAAGGAGUUAUUGGCUAUCAAAGUGGGGGACCUUGUAAAGAGGCCUUGCGGUAAAGGAUAGGUUCAUGGGAUAUCAGCUAGUUGGUGUGGUAAAGGCGCACCAAGGCUAAGACGUCUAGGCGGAUUGAGAGAUUGACCGCCAACAUUGGGACUGAGACACUGCCCAAACUCCUACGGGAGGCUGCAGUCGAGAAUCUUUCGCAAUGGGCGAAAGCCUGACGAAGCGACGCUGCGUGAGUGAUGAAGGCUUUCGGGUUGUAAAACUCUUUCGCGCAAGAGCAAAGUGACUUAGUGAAUAACUGAGACAUAUGAGAGUACUGCGUAAAGAAGCACCGGCUAACUCCGUGCCAGCAGCUGCGGUAAUACGGAGGGUGCAAGCAUUAAUCGGAAUUAUUGGGCGUAAAGGGCGCGUAGGCGGGAUUAAAAGUCAGAUGUGAAAUUCCGAAGCUCAACUUCGGAGCCGCAUUUGAAACUGCAAUUCUUGAGGGAUGGCGGAGGAAACGGAAUUCCACGUGUAGCGGUGAAAUGCGUAGAUAUGUGGAAGAACACCUGUGGCGAAAGCGGUUUCCUAGCUUUUACCUGACGCUGAGGCGCGAGAGCAAGGGGAGCAAACA
rnacentral:rRNA from 1 species